rnacentral:lncRNA from 1 species
CAUAGCCUGAUGACACGGAAGACAUGAUGCACCUUCUCUGUCUCUCUUCUUCUCAAUAUUUUUUUAUCCAAUCUGCAAAGGCAGAGUGCCAAUCGCUUCACACACGACCACGCGAGCGCACGCGGAGGCCAACGGCGUGGAGAGGGCGGGGCCGGAUGGGCGGCCGGCGACGACGGGCAGACUGGGCCGAAGGAGGAGCCGGGCCGCGACGGGCAAACGGGGCCGGAGGAGCAGCCGGCGGCAGCCUGAAGUUCAGCGGCGGCGGCGAAGAAACUCCUCGGUGACGGCCUGGGCAGGCUGGAACCUCGACCUCGAGGCGGUGGCCAGCGAUGAGGGUCCCGGGACUCCGGGUCGGGAGGAGGCAGUGGCCGGCGGAGAGGUUCCCGUGGCCGCGGGUUGGGAGGAGGCGGCGGCCGGUGGUGAGAAUCUUCCCGGUGGCGGAGGAAACCUCGGCGACCUCGAGGCGGUGGCCGGCGGAGAGAAACCCAAGGCCGCGGGUCUGAAGGAGGCGACGGCCGGCAACGAAAAUCCCUGGGCCGCGAGCCACCGCGGCCUGGAAUUGGACGAGGUCGAUGGAGUUGAAGGAGACGAUCUGGAGGGCAAUCGAUCUAGCGACAGAUCGGAAAAAAUUCAGGUAGAGACCUUAAACCAGGCUCGAUACCAUGUUAAGGUAGGAAAGAAGGCAACAUAUGUACUAUCGAAGGCCAAAACAGCCGGCAUAUAUACAGUACAAAAGAAUGCCAAAAGACAGUAAUACGAAAGGCCAAAGGCCAUCUGCACUACAACUCUAACAAGACCUUCCUUCAUGUGAAAUUUCCAGCACAGGGGGUGAGCUCGGGAACUGUUGUUGAUUGUGAAUGAGUAGAGCUCAAGGAACUGCCGUUGGAGGGGAAGAAGAUUCCAUGGAUCUCUCCAGAGUCUGGUAGUGUCACCAAUGACAGCUUUAGAGUUUGCAAAUCUCUGGAAUGAGGGCAGUAGUUUGAGUACAUCUUUCCACUAGAAUGAUCCAAUCAAUAUCUCUCCUGGGGUAUGCAAAGUAUAGUAGGUUUCCCAAAGAAUCUUCACCCAAGGGAGGUCCUGUUUAUUGAGAAAUUUGUGAAGGAACUUCAUGAGCAGGGCCUGAUUGUGUACCUAGACCUCCAUGAGUUUUUGCUAAGCAAGCCUUUUCCCAUGCAAUCAGAGCAGAGAUUUUCUCCUCGGUGCCAUAUUUCCUCCAGAAGCAUUGCUUCAAAUACUUAUUGCUUAUUGAUUUGCUGGAUAGUUAAUGGCAUAGAUAGGAUGCUCAAGUAAAAGAUAGG